rnacentral:rRNA from 1 species
UACGUAGGGGGCUAGCGUUGUCCGGAAUCAUUGGGCGUAAAGAGCGUGUAGGCGGCCCGGUAAGUCCGCUGUGAAAGUCGGGGGCUCAACCCUCGAAUGCCGGUGGAUACUGUCGGGCUAGAGUGCGGAAGAGGCGAGUGGAAUUCCUGGUGUAGCGGUGAAAUGCGCAGAUAUCAGGAGGAACACCAAUGGCGAAGGCAGCUCACUGGGACGGUAUUGACGCUGAGGUGCGAAAGCGUGGGGAGCAACAGG